GCAGGCGACGGGACAGGACGGGACAGAGCGGUGCUGUGAGGAGCCCCCACACAGCGCACUCGUUCGUGUCCGACCCGGAGCUUUUUCGAGGAAUUACUUCUAGACGUGACCUCAGGGCCAGACUGCAGGACUUGGCAUUUGCCUUGCAAUUUUCCUUUAUUUUAAUCUUUGACAUGGAGCAGAGACACUCAAGACUGCCCAAGCUGGCCUGGGUGGAGAAGGAGGAAAAAUACACUGAACCUGACCGAGAGGUAGAGAUUGAGGACAUUGAGCCAAUCCUGCUGCAGGAGGACACGUGUGUGACGGCAUCGGAUACUACUGGUGGGAAGGAAAACUGGGAAUGGCUCUGGCGGCUCCGCAAUCUCCACCAAGCUCAGCAUCCUGUCUGGAGAGCUCUACAACUCAGGACUACACAAAAUCACGUGGAAAACUCAAGGAACUCAGGCGCACAUGGGAAACAAAGUGAAUAAAGAUGGGCAAAACCAGCAAAGCAUGAACAGGAGGAGACUUCCAGCCCAUUCAGAAAGGAAAAGUAGGAUUCUCUUUGAAAAAAAUUCCAGUAGCAUUUUUAAAAAAACCUAAAAUCUUCCUAAAUAAAACCAAAAUUUUGGGCCCUCCCAGGCCCUGGUA